rnacentral:rRNA from 1 species
UACGAAGGGGGCUAGCGUUGUUCGGAAUUACUGGGCGUAAAGCGCGCGCAGGCGGCUAUCCAAGUCAGUGGUGAAAGCCCGGAGCUCAACUCCGGAACUGCCAUUGAAACUGUUUAGCUUGAGGACGAGAGAGGUGAGUGGAAUUCCCAGUGUAGAGGUGAAAUGCGUAGAUAUCGGGAGGAACACCUGAGGCGAAGGCGGGUUACUGGGCUGAUACUGACGCUGAUGCGCGAAAGCCAGGGGAGCAAACGGG